AGCAGCGGGGGGAGGGCUCCUGGAGGCGCGGGGCGGGCUCGGGGCUGCGCGCUCGCCGGGGGAGCAGGAGCAGCAGCAGGAGGAGGAGCUGGCGCGGCGAUCACGGGCGCCCAGAGCGCCUUCUCGGCGCCUGGAGCCAGAAGCGAAUAAUCCUGGGUGGCCCGCAGCGGAGCCGUGGCCGAGCGGGAGGAGCCGGCCCGACUGUGGGAGUGCCGGGUGGCUCGCGGUGUCCGCCUCGGGCUGUGCCCCUGCGCUGCGCACUCGCGGCCCGGCGCUAGCGCCUGCGCUGCUCUCCGCGAUGUGAGCCGCUGCCUGUCCAGCCUGGGCUCUGGCGAGAAAACUCACUUCAAAAGCAGCUGCACCGAGGGGGAGAUUAAAGCCUUUGCCGCCUUCCAAUCAAAUGGGAGCCCGAGGUGAUUGGAGGGUCAAGGGGAUGUGACGCGUCCCGCGCCAAUGCUGCCGCCGCCGCCGCCGCCGCCGCCGCCGCCGCCGCCAGGACUCUCAGCGCUGGUUUUAAUGGGCAGCUCCCUCUUCGCCGCUCCCCCUGCGUGUCCCUCCCCUGAUUUCGCUCGGAGGACAAGCUGGACAUUUAUUCUACGUUUGCUGUCUGCCGCCUCCCUCUUUUUUCUUCCUCGUCGUCCGUCCUUUUCUCCAGCUGGAGAAUAAACUGAAACCUUCUUUGGCAGGAGGGUGUGUGUGAGGAACAGUUUGGGGUUGAUGAGAAGGAGCACUGGCGGGAGUGUGGACAACAGCCGGACUGUCAACUCCAGGGCCGCACAGGGGGCCCGCACACCAAAUAUUCUCUCCUCCUCCUCCUCAGUGGUAAUUGAAAUAUCUUGCGGUGCGGCCGCCUGGCAGGAAACGGCUCCCGGUUCCCGUGUACGGAGACGCAUCGGCCCAGCACGGGACGCGAGAUGGCUCCUCGUGCUCAUAAGGCGGCAGGUCUGGCCUCCGAGGGAGGCUGGACUAUCAGAGCGCUCAGGCCGAGCAGCCUCUCGCUGCCCGGCAGUGCCUGGCAGUCGCCCGCCUCUGCCUGUGCUUCGGGAACCCGCCGGGCCGAGUCCGUCCGGAGCGAAAACU
rnacentral:lncRNA from 1 species